UACGGAGGGUGCAAGCGUUGUUCGGAAUCACUGGGCGUAAAGCGCGUGUAGGCGGCUAUCUAAGUCUGAUGUGAAAGCCCUGGGCUCAACUCAGGAAGUGCAUUGGAUACUGGAUAGCUGGAGUACCGGAGAGGAGGGUGGAAUUCCUGGUGUAGCGGUGAAAUGCGCAGAUAUCAGGAGGAACACCGGUGGCGAACGCGGUUCUCUGGGCCUGUACUGACGCUGAGGAACGAAAGCGUGGGGAGCGAACAGG
rnacentral:rRNA from 1 species